CAUCGACCCCGCGGCUUGGUACCUCGAUGUCGGCUCUUCCCAUCCUGGCCUCGAAGUAGGGGCCAAGGGUGGGGCUGCUCGCCCAUUAAAGGGGAACGUGAGCUGGGUUUAGACCGUCGUGAGACAGGUCGGACUCUAUCUAACGGGGGUGUUGGCCGCCUGAGAGGAACCCGUCCUCAGUACGAGAGGAACGGGGCGGGGGGGCCUCUGGUGAAGGGGUUGUCCGAUAGGGCAGCGCCCCGAAGCUACGCCCCUUGGGAUAAGGGCUGAAGGCAUCUAAGCCCGAAGCCCAUCUCAAAAAUAGGCGGCC
rnacentral:rRNA from 1 species